UACACACCGCCCGUCACACCAUGGGAGUGGGUUCACCAGAAGCAGGUUGCCUAACCGCAAGGGGGCGCCUACCACGGUGAGCUCCAUGACGUGGGGUGAAGUCGUAACAACGGUACC
rnacentral:rRNA from 1 species